rnacentral:rRNA from 1 species
AUGGGGGGACCAUCCUCCAAGGCUAAAUACUCCUGACUGACCGAUAGUGAACCAGUACCGUGAGGGAAAGGCGAAAAGAACCCCGGCGAGGGGAGUGAAAAAGAACCUGAAACCGUGUACGUACAAGCAGUGGGAGCACAGGUUUACCUGUGUGACUGCGUACCUUUUGUAUAAUGGGUCAGCGACUUAUAUUCUGUAGCAAGGUUAACCGAAUAGGGGAGCCGGAGGGAAACCGAGUCUUAAUUGGGCGUUAAGUUGCAGGGUAUAGACCCGAAACCCGGUGAUCUAGCCAUGGGCAGGUUGAAGGUUGGGUAACACUAACUGGAGGACCGAACCGACUAAUGUUGAAAAAUUAGCGGAUGACCUGUGGCUGGGGGUGAAAGGCCAAUCAAACCGGGAGAUAGCUGGUUCUCCCCGAAAGCUAUUUAGGUAGCGCCUCGUGAAUUCAUCUCCGGGGGUAGAGCACUGUUUCGGCUAGGGGGCCAUCCCGGCUUACCAACCCGAUGCAAACUGCGAAUACCGGAGAAUGUUAUCACGGGAGACACACGGCGGGUGCUAACGUCCGUCGUGAAGAGGGAAACAACCCAGACCGCCAGCUAAGGUCCCAAAGUCAUGGUUAAGUGGGAAACGAUGUGGGAAGGCCCAGACAGCCAGGAUGUUGGCUUAGAAGCAGCCAUCAUUUAAAGAAAGCGUAAUAGCUCACUGGUCGAGUCGGCCUGCGCGGAAGAUGUAACGGGGCUAAACCAUG